UUGCUUCAGCAGCACAAAAACUAAAAUUGGAAUGACACAGAAAAUUAGCAUGGCCCCUGUGCAAGCAUAACACACAAAUUCACGAAGCAUUCCAUAUUUUG
rnacentral:snRNA from 1 species